UACGUAGGAGACGAGCGUUGUCCGGAAUUACUGGGCGUAAAGCGCGUGUAGGCGGCUCGGUAAGUCUGCUGUGAAAGUCCAGGGCUCAACCCUGGAAUGCCGGUGGAAACUGUCGAGCUUGAGUCCGGAAGAGGCGAGUGGAAUUCCUGGUGUAGCGGUGAAAUGCGCAGAUAUCAGGAGGAACACCAAUGGCGAAGGCAGCUCGCUGGGACGGUACUGACGCUGAGACGCGAAAGCGUGGGGAGCAAACAGG
rnacentral:rRNA from 1 species